GGGGAUUUAGCUCAGUGGUUCUGGCCCCUCCUUUGAAAGCAGAAGGUCCCAAGUUCAAUCCUUGGUACCCCCC
rnacentral:tRNA from 1 species